AGAGUUUGAUCCUGGCUCAGGACGAACGCUGGCGGCGUGCUUAACACAUGCAAGUCGAGCGAGAAAGCCCCUUCGGGGGUGAGUACAGCGGCGAACGGGUGAGUAACACGUGGGCAACCUGCCCCAGAGACUGGGAUAACGUCCCGAAAGGGACGCUAAUACCGGAUGAUGCGCGACCUGCCAAGUGGGUCGCGCCAAAUGGUAGCUUCGGCUUCUGCUCUGGGAUGGGCCCGCGCCGGAUUAGCUUGUUGGUGAGGUAACGGCUCACCAAGGCGACGAUCCGUAGCUGGUCUGAGAGGACGAUCAGCCACACUGGGACUGAGACACGGCCCAGACUCCUACGGGAGGCAGCAGUGGGGAAUCUUGCGCAAUGGGCGAAAGCCUGACGCAGCAACGCCGCGUGCGGGAAGAAGGCCUUCGGGUUGUAAACCGCUGUCAGGAGGGACGAAGCCACUCAGGUGAAUAGCCGAGAGGGUGACGGUACCUCCAGAGGAAGCCCCGGCUAACUACGUGCCAGCAGCCGCGGUAAUACGUAGGGGGCUAGCGUUGUCCGGAAUCAUUGGGCGUAAAGCGCGCACAGGCGGUUUCUUAAGUCUGAUGUGAAAGCCCACGGCUCAACCGUGGAGGGUCAUUGGAAACUGGGGAACUUGAGUGCAGAAGAGAAAAGCGGAAUUCCACGUGUAGCGGUGAAAUGCGUAGAGAUGUGGAGGAACACCAGUGGCGAAGGCGGCUUUUUGGUCUGUAACUGACGCUGAGGCGCGAAAGCGUGGGGAGCAAACAGGAUUAGAUACCGUGGUAGU
rnacentral:rRNA from 1 species